rnacentral:rRNA from 1 species
AUACGGAGGGUGCAAGCGUUGUUCGGAAUUACUGGGCGUAAAGCGCGCGUAGGUGGUCUGUUAUGUCAGAUGUGAAAGUCCACGGCUCAACCGUGGAAGUGCAUUUGAAACUGGCAGACUUGAGUACUGGAGGGGGUAGUGGAAUUCCCGGUGUAGAGGUGAAAUUCGUAGAUAUCCGGAGGAAUACCGGUGGCGAAGGCGACUACCUGGCCAGAUACUGACACUGAGGUGCGAAAGCGUGGGGAGCGAACAGGAUUAGAUACCCUUGUAGUCC